AACUGGAAUCUGUUUCUUCUGAUCCCUGUUCUGGGACCCAAUCUGGCUUAGGGGUCCAGUCCGGAUAAGGAUC